rnacentral:rRNA from 1 species
UGAGUACGAGACGCUAAGGCGUUGAAGCAGUGUAUGUCAGACUUCCAAGAAAAGCUCGCAAUGUCAUAACAAAAAAUGCCUGUACCAUAACCGACACAGGUGGGUAGGUAGAGUAUACUAAGGGGCGCGAGAUAACUCUCUCUAAGGAACUCGGCAAAAUGACUCCGUAACUUCGGGAGAAGGAGUGCCUUAUUUUUAUAAGGUUGCAAUAACAAGAUCCAAGCAACUGUUUACCAAAAACACAGGUCUCCGCUAAGUCGUAAGACGAUGUAUGGGGGCUGACGCCUGCCCAGUGCCAGAAGGUUAAAGAAGUUGGUUAGUUUCGGCGAAGCUAAUGACUGAAGCCCUGGUGAACGGCGGCCGUAACGAUAACGGUCCUAAGGUAGCGAAAUUCCUUGUCGGGUAAGUUCCGACCCGCACGAAAGGCGUAAUGAUUUGGAUACUGUCUCGGAGAGGGGCUCGGUGAAAUAGACUUGUCUGUGAAGAUGCGGACUACCUGCACCUGGACAGAAAGACCCUAUGAAGCUUUACUGUAACUUGAGAUUGAAAUUGGACUUUAUUUGCGCAGUAUAGGUGGGAGACGUUGAGAAUAUUCUUGCGGGAAUAUUGGAGUCAUCAGUGAGAUACCACUCUUGUAAUGUUAGAUUUCUAACUUUGUAUCAUUAUCUGGUCAAAGGACAGUUUCAGGCGGGCAGUUUGACUGGGGCGGUCGCCUCCCAAACGGUAACGGAGGCGCACAAAGGUUUCCUCUGAACGUGUAGAAAUCGUAUCUAGAGUGUAAAGGCAUAAGGAAGCUUGACUGUGAGACCUACAAGUCGAGCAGGGACGAAAGUCGGUCUUAGUGAUCUGACGGUGCUGAGUGGAAAGGCCGUCACUCAACGGAUAAAAGUUACUCUAAGGAUAACAGGCUGAUCUCCCCCAAGAGUACACAUCGACGGGGAGGUUUGGCACCUCGAUGUCGGCUCAUCGCGUCCUGGGGCGGUAGUACGUCCCAAGGGUUGGGCUGUUCGCCCAUGAAAGCGGUACGCGAGCUGGGUUCAGAACGCCGUGAGACAGUUCGGUCCAUAACCGGUGUAGGCGUUAGAAUAUUGAGAGGAGCCUUCUUUAGUACGAGAGGACCGAGAAGGACAUACCUCUGGUGUACCAGUUAUCGUGCCAACGGUAAACGCUGGGUAGCUAUGUAUGGAGUGGAUAACCGCUGAAAGCAUCUAAGUGGGAAGCCCACCUCAAGAUAAGUAUUCUCUUA